GGAGGGGUGGCUGAGUGGUUAAAGGCACCAGUCUGAUAAACUGGCAUACCUCUUAGUAGGAGGUAUCGUGGGUUCGAAUCCCACUCCCUAUU
rnacentral:tRNA from 1 species